UAACUCUUCACUUGCAUGUAUCUUAUUUCUUUAACGUGCCAUUCCAAAUUUAAACACACAUUUUCAUAGAGAUACAUGGUUACUCGAAAUGUUCUGAUACUCUGAAAUUAUGGCAUUGAUGGUCUAAGAAAUGGUCUGAAUUUUAAUCUUGAAUGCAGGUGAUAUAAAGUCCUCCUUCUCCAAAGAUCGUCCGGAUAUGUUUGAACCUCUUAUUUCACAGGAUUCGACCCAAACUCUGAUGCAGGUAGAAUCAACCAUCUUUUCAGUUUCCUCUUUAUCUAUAUUUUUUAUAGUUUCCUAAAGUUAACAUCUCUUCUUGUUUGGAUAAGCAGAUGAAACAAUCCGGUUCAUUUACUCUAAUGAGCAUCCUCAGGACGCUGGUUUGCACAAUCUGUUGGAUUCUCGUAGCAGCUGCACUUCUGCUUCUUAUGAUCAUCGUUUGUGCGCUGAUAUAAUAUAUCUGCUCUCUUCCAAUAGAUGUGCAGCUAGUUAUGCAUCUAUCCUUGCUUCUUCACUAUGUUCAACUUCGAGCUCUAUAUGGUAGUUAUUUUGCUCAGAA